rnacentral:rRNA from 1 species
GUCAAGUAAGAAUACCCGCUGAACUUAAGCAUAUCAAUAAGCGGAGGAAAAGAAACUAACUAGGAUUCCCUUAGUAACGGCGAGUGAACUGGGAAAAGCUCAAAUUUUAAAUCACCCCGGUGAAUUGUAAUUUGAAGAAAGUGAUUUGACUUUUCAGUUUAAUCUAAAUCCUUUGGGAUGAGGUAUCAUAGAGGGUGAGAAUCCCGUUCUUGAUUAAACCUCGGAUUGCACUAAUUCACUUUCUAAGAGCCGAGUUGUUUGGGAUUGCAGCUCCAAAUGGGUGGUAAAUUUCACCUAAGGCUAAAUAUAUGCAAGAGACCGAUAGCGAACAAGUACCGUGAGGGAAAGAUGAAAAGAACUUUGAAAAGAGAGUUAAAUAGUACGUGAGAUUGUUGAAAGGGAAACGAUUGAAGUCAGUCAUGCUAAUGAGGAAUCAACUUGGUGGUUUACUUCCUUGUGCAUUUUCUCGCUUGGCAGGUUAGCAUCAAUUUUGGUUGUCAUCAAAGAAUUAGGGGAAUGUGGCUUUUCUUCGGUAAAGUGUUAUAGACUCUGAUUGAUGUGGCGACUGGGAUUGAGGUUUGCAGCGAAUGCCUUUUUGGGCUAGUCACCUGUCUUCUGACCGUCACCUCGCUUUUGACAGCUUGCUGAUGAUCGCGGGAUUUGGCGACCUAGGAGUUAGAGUGAACAUAAAUUCGCUAAGGAAGCUGACGUAAUGGCUUUAAACGACCCGUCUUGAAACACGGACCAAGGAGUCUAACAUAUAUGCGAGUGUU